GAUGAACGCUAGCGGCAGGCUUAAUACAUGCAAGUCGAGGGGCAGCACGGUUAGCAAUAACUGGUGGCGACCGGCGCACGGGUGCGUAACACGUAUACAAUCUACCUUAAACAGGGGGAUAGUCUUUCGAAAGAGAGAUUAAUACCCGUAAUAAAUUGAACGGCAUCGUUUGAUUUUGAAAGCUCCGGCGGUUUGAGAUGAGUAUGCGUCUGAUUAGCUAGUUGGUGAGGUAACGGCUCACCAAGGCGACGAUCAGUAGGGGAUCUGAGAGGACUAACCCCCACACUGGUACUGAGACACGGACCAGACUCCUACGGGAGGCAGCAGUAAGGAAUAUUGGUCAAUGGAGGCAACUCUGAACCAGCCAUGCCGCGUGCAGGAUGACGGCCCUAUGGGUUGUAAACUGCUUUUAUACAAGAGAAAACCCUGGUACGUGUACCAGGUUGAUAGUAUUGUAAGAAUAAGCAUCGGCUAACUUCGUGCCAGCAGCCGCGGUAAU
rnacentral:rRNA from 1 species